rnacentral:rRNA from 1 species
GAUGAACGCUGGCGGCGUGCCUAAUACAUGCAAGUCGAGCGAACAGACGAGGAGCUUGCUCCUCUGACGUUAGCGGCGGACGGGUGAGUAACACGUGGAUAACCUACCUAUAAGACUGGGAUAACUUCGGGAAACCGGAGCUAAUACCGGAUAAUCUAUUGAACCGCAUGGUUCAAUAGUGAAAGACGGUUUUGCUGUCACUUAUAGCUGGAUCCGCGCCGCAUUAGCUAGUUGGUAAGGUAACGGCUUACCAAGGCGACGAUGCGUAUCCGACCUGAGAGGGUGAUCGGCCGCACUGGAACUGAGACGCGGUCCAGACGCCUACGGGAGGCAGCAGUAGGGAAUCUUCCGCAAUGGGCGAAAGCCUGACGGAGCAACGCCGCGUGAGUGAUGAAGGUCUUCGGAGCGUAAAACUCUGUUAUGAGUGAAGAACAAAUGUGUAAGUAACUAUGCACGUCUUGACGGUACCGAGUCAGAAAGCCACGGCUAACUACGUG